rnacentral:lncRNA from 1 species
GGGACAUAUUUCUCCCUCCUUCUAGGAAUGAAUGAAGCACGAAACCUCCCCAGACCCAAAUUUGAAAGGUUCUAGGAGCAGCACUGUCUCACUGAAGCAGUACAAGUUUGAUUUCCAGAACAUCAGCCUGAGGACAGGAGCACCCACAAAAGAAAGGGGUGACAUAGUCUCUGCUCAGAAGGUGGCAGAUAUUUUUCCAGAACAACUAAAAUGAAAUGUUGGCCCAAGACUCAGCUGCAUCAAACAAGAAAAUAAAAUAAACUUCACAGAAGUUUACUCA